UCACCCAACCCACUGUAUAUCUCUGUAGACUUCCAUUUAUAUAAAAAUGGAGUUCUGAUACAAAACCAAGCAGCUGAAUCUUCAACCGUAUUCAAUCUGACUGUGGGAACAUCUGAUUAUGGGCAAUACAGCUGUGACUUUUCAUCCCAGAGAAAUAGCUCCGUCAUAUCACCCAGGAACAGCUCUGUAAACAUUACUGUGGAAAAGAUCAGGCUGGUGAACGGAUCAGGUCUCUGCGAUGGCAGAGUGGAGAUCUCCAUUAAUGACCAGUGGGGAACAGUGUGUGAUGAUCUCUGGGACAUUAAUGAUGGAGACGUGGUGUGCAGACAGAUGGGAUGUGGUCGAGCCGUCAGCGCCCCGCAAAGUUCCAGAUUUGGUCCAGGAAGUGGAUCAAUAUUUCUGGAUGACGUUGUCUGUUCUGGAAGUGAAAGAUCUCUCACAAAAUGCUCUCAUAGAGGACUAGGAGUGAACAACUGUGAUCAUUCCAAAGAUGCUGGAGUUGUCU